rnacentral:rRNA from 1 species
CGGGUGUGCUGGCUCGCNCCACUGUNGGNCGANCGUGNGCGCUCUCGUUUNCACNNCNNCNCACACCUGUGCACCUCUCNGUAGNCUCUGUNGUCUGGGGGACACGCGUCUNNNUGCCGCGGUAUNNACUGAUNNUNACACACACCCUGUUUUAUUGUCUUAUGGAAUGUAUGUUUCGUCUAACCAAUACAAAGACUUUGGGAUCUCUUGGCUCCGCAUCAUGAAGAACUUUUAAUGCGAUAAUAAUGGGACUUGCAAAUUCAAUGAAUCAUCGAAUCUUUGAACGCACCGUGCGCCCCUUGGCUAUUCCAAGGGGCAUGCCUGUUUGAUAUCUUGAACUCCUCGGCUCUCAUGGGAUGCCGUGAUGACUUGGACUCUGGGGGUUUUGCUGGCCUGCUUCGGCUCCCCUCAAAUGAAGUUGGGGUUUUGUUUGGUGGCUCUUCGGGGUGAUAAAUAUCACUCUCGCAGUUGUCCGGCCGGAACCUGAUAACAAAUGUUCCUGGACCACAAUGUCUCUCUCUGCAGGACACUUUUUAUGCUAUCUCUCGUAGACCCAUUAUUAUCUAACGGAGGAAAAAGAUUCCCCUAUAAGCAGAGACAAAACUCAGUUUCUCGGGUGCCUGGCCGAUACUAUAAAUCGUCUGCUGAGAUAUCUCGAAAGUGUUAUCCGCCUGGACCGUGUAAUCUCGA